GAUGAACGCUGGCGGCGUGCUUAACACAUGCAAGUCGAGCGAGUGAGUUCUUCGGAACGAUCUAGCGGCGGACGGGUGAGUAACACGUGGGCAACCUGCCUCAUAGAGGGGAAUAGCCUCCCGAAAGGGAGAUUAAUACCGCAUAAAAUUAUCGAGUGGCAUCACAUGAUAAUCAAAGGAGUAAUCCGCUAUGAGAUGGGCCCGCGGCGCAUUAGCUAGUUGGUGAGGUAACGGCUCACCAAGGCGACGAUGCGGAGCCGGACUGAGAGGGUGAUCGGCCACAUUGGGACUGAGACACGGCCCAGACUCCUACGGGAGGCAGCAGUGGGGAAUAUUGCACAAUGGGGGAAACCCUGAUGCAGCAACGCCGCGUGAGUGAUGAAGGUCUUCGGAUUGUAAAGCUCUGUCUUUGGGGACGAUAAUGACGGUACCCAAGGAGGAAGCCACGGCUAACUACGUGCCAGCAGCCGCAGUAA
rnacentral:rRNA from 1 species